rnacentral:rRNA from 1 species
UACAGAGGGGGCAAGCGUUGUUCGGAAUUACUGGGCGUAAAGGGCGCGUAGGCGGCCUGCUAAGUCGAACGUGAAAUCCCCGGGCUCAACCCGGGAACUGCGUCCGAUACUGGCAGGCUUGAAUUCGGGAGAGGGAUGCGGAAUUCCAGGUGUAGCGGUGAAAUGCGUAGAUAUCGGAAGGAACGUCGAUGGCGAAGGCAGCCACCUGGCAUAAUACUGACGCUGAGGCGCGAAAGCGUGGGGAGCGAACAGG